AUUGAACGCUGGCGGCAUGCCUUACACAUGCAAGUCGAGCGGCAGCGCGGGGGCAACCCUGGCGGCGAGCGGCGAACGGGUGAGUGAUGCAUCGGAACGUGUCCUCUUGUGGGGGAUAACCAGUCGAAAGACUGGCUAAUACCGCAUGAGAUCGAGAGAUGAAAGCAGGGGACCGCAAGGCCUUGCGCGAGAGGAGCGGCCGAUGCCGGAUUAGCUAGUUGGUGGGGUAAAAGCCUACCAAGGCGACGAUCCGUAGCUGGUCUGAGAGGACGACCAGCCACACUGGGACUGAGACACGGCCCAGACUCCUACGGGAGGCAGCAGUGGGGAAUUUUGGACAAUGGGGGCAACCCUGAUCCAGCCAUGCCGCGUGUGUGAAGAAGGCCUUCGGGUUGUAAAGCACUUUCGGCCGGAACGAAAUCGCGCGAUCUAAUAAGUCGCGUGGAUGACGGUACCGGAAGAAGAAGCACCGGCUAACUACGUGCCAGCCGCCGCCGUAACAC
rnacentral:rRNA from 1 species